CGGAGAUUGUCGAAUCCUCAACGAAAACCCGCGAACACGUUCAAAAUCCGCGUCGGGCGUCCGGGUAAGACCGGCGUCCCUCGCCCCCCGCCCGGCCGAACGGGGCCCCUUGACCGGCCGAAGGUCGCGCCGGGCAACCGAAACAAAAAUCGGCGCGGGAUGCGCCAAGGACUUACGAAAUGGGAUGCCUUCCCGCGGAGGUUCGCGGAAUCCUCGCCGGGGUUGCAAAGGCGCCUGAAACGAAAUGUCACACGACUCUCGGCAACGGAUAUCUUGGCUCUCGCAUCGAUGAAGAACGUAGCAAACUGCGAUACUUGGUGUGAAUUGCAGAAUCCCGUGAACCAUCGAGAACGCAA
rnacentral:misc_RNA from 1 species